AACGAACGCUGGCGGCAGGCUUAACACAUGCAAGUCGAACGCCCCGCAAGGGGAGUGGCAGACGGGUGAGUAACGCGUGGGAACAUACCCUUUUCUACGGAAUAGCUCUGGGAAACUGGAAUUAAUACCGUAUACGCCCUACGGGGGAAAGAUUUAUCGGGGAAGGAUUGGCCCGCGUUGGAUUAGCUAGUUGGUGGGGUAAAGGCCUACCAAGGCGACGAUCCAUAGCUGGUCUGAGAGGAUGAUCAGCCACAUUGGGACUGAGACACGGCCCAAACUCCUACGGGAGGCAGCAGUGGGGACUAUUGGACAAUGGGCGCAAGCCUGAUCCAGCCAUGCCGCGUGAGUGAUGAAGGCCUUAGGGUUGUAAAGCUCUUUCACCGAUGAAGAUAAUGACGGUAGUCGGAGAAGAAGCCCCGGCUAACUUCGUG
rnacentral:rRNA from 1 species